GACCGCGUAGCUCAGUUGGAAGAGCAUUGGGCUAGUAUUCCGAAGGUCGUAGGUUCGAAUCCCACCGUGGCCG